GCAGUCGAACGGUAACAGGUUAAGCUGACGAGUGGCGAACGGGUGAGUAAUGCUUCGGAACGUGCCCGAUCGUGGGGGAUAACGCAGCGAAAGCUGCGCUAAUACCGCAUACGAUCUGAGGAUGAAAGCGGGGGACCGUAAGGCCUCGCGCGAUCGGAGCGGCCGAUGUCAGAUUAGGUAGUUGGUGGGGUAAAGGCUCACCAAGCCAACGAUCUGUAGCUGGUCUGAGAGGACGACCAGCCACACUGGGACUGAGACACGGCCCAGACUCCUACGGGAGGCAGCAGUGGGGAAUUUUGGACAAUGGGCGAAAGCCUGAUCCAGCAAUGCCGCGUGCAGGAAGAAGGCCUUCGGGUUGUAAACUGCUUUUGUACGGAGCGAAAAGGCUCUCUCUAAUACAGGGGGCUCAUGACGGUACCGUAAGAAUAAGCACCGGCUAACUACGUGCCAGCAGCCGCGGUAAUACGUAGGGUGCAAGCGUUAAUCGGAAUUACUGGGCGUAAAGCGUGCGCAGGCGGUUUUGUAAGACAGGCGUGAAAUCCCCGGGCUCAACCUGGGAAUGGCGCUUGUGACUGCAAAGCUGGAGUGCGGCAGAGGGGGAUGGAAUUCCGCGUGUAGCAGUGAAAUGCGUAGAUAUGCGGAGGAACACCGAUGGCGAAGGCAAUCCCCUGGGCCUGCACUGACGCUCAUGCACGAAAGCGUGNGGAGCAAACAGGAUUAGAUACCCUGGUAGUCCACGCCCUAAACGAUGUCAACUGGUUGUU
rnacentral:rRNA from 1 species